rnacentral:rRNA from 1 species
UACAGAGGGGGCAAGCGUUAUUCGGAAUUACUGGGCGUAAAGGGCUCGUAGGUGGCCAACUAAGUCAGACGUGAAAUCCCUCGGCUUAACCGGGGAACUGCGUCUGAUACUGGAUGGCUUGAGUUCGGGAGAGGGAUGCGGAAUUCCAGGUGUAGCGGUGAAAUGCGUAGAUAUCUGGAGGAACACCGGUGGCGAAGGCGGCAUCCUGGACCGACACUGACACUGAGGAGCGAAAGCCAGGGGAGCAAACGGG